rnacentral:misc_RNA from 5 species
AACGCACAUUGCGCCCGCCAGUAUUCUGGCGGGCAUGCCUGUUCGAGCGUCAUUUCAACCCUCAAGCCCCCGGGCUUGGUGUUGGAGAUCGGCGUGCCCCCCGGGGCGCGCCGGCUCCCAAAUAUAGUGGCGGUCUCGCUGUAGCUUCCUCUGCGUAGUAGCACACCUCGCACUGGAAAACAGCGUGGCCACGCCGUUAAACCCCCCACUUCUGAAAGGUUGACCUCGGAUCAGGUAGGAAUACCCGCUGAACUUAA